UAAUGAGUGUAUGUUAGACAUUUUACUUGAGUCUUUUCAUAUCACGGUAUGCCUUUAUUUUACCCUCAUAUAUAAUUAAUUUUCAUCUGGGCAUAUAUUUCCAGAUUAGAAAUCAUUUCUUUUCAUACAUUUUAAGGAAUUUAUACAUUUGCAUCUGAAAUUGUAUUCAUUAUCUUCUAGAAACCAAGAGUGGACUUGGUAUCCGUCUGAUUAUAUUUUCUUUGUUGGUAAAGAGCCUCUUUUUUCCCUUUUUAUUUUCAUCUUCUCUUUCUCUAGUGUUUAUAAUCUUAUUUUUAUGAAUGUAGUCUAAUUAUUUAGAACACUGUCUCCGAGUAUGUGUUUAUUUGGGUUUGUGUUUUGAACAUUGCCUCCAGGUGCGAGUUUAUGUGUGUUUAUGUUUCCUAUUUGAGGUUGGACACUUAGAAAAUUUUCUCAAUUCGAAAACUAUUUUCCUUCAGCACUCAGAAAUUUUUAUCAAUGAUUAUUUCCACGAUUAUUUCCUGUCCUUGGUUUUUCGUGUUCUUAACCUAGAAUUCAAUUGUUUAAUGUUAGACCUUACACAUCUUCAAUGUAUCAUAUAUAUUUCACUCAUAUUAUUUAUUGUCAUAUCUUUUGGACUAUUGUGUGAAAGCAAUAAAUGUAUAUUACUUUAUUUAUUGGUAAUGCUCUUCAUUUUCAAAUUUAAUACACACAAAUUGUGCAUACCCACACACAUAUACCACAGAUAUAUUCAUUUUCAGGAUUUCUUUAAGUGUUAUUUUAAAAAUAAUCAUAUUCUUAUUUUGUGAACUGUGGGAUUUCUUGAAACUUUUUGAAAACUCUCAUUAGUCUGUGUUUGUGUGGUUUCUUUAAAUUAUCUCUUCCUUCAGAAUUACUUUUGUGUUUUGAAUUUGAGUCUUUGCCAUUCAUAAGGCGGGCUUUCCUUGAAUACCAGAUAACUCUGAGUUUCCUGUUCAUAUUUAAGAAUAAAUAACCUAAUUUGAA
rnacentral:misc_RNA from 1 species